AUUACUCCUACGGGAGGCAGCAGUGAGGAAUAUUGGUCAAUGGUCAGACGACUGAACCAGCCAUGCCGCGUGAAGGUGACGGCCCUAUGGGUCUUAAACUUCUUUUGUAAGGGAGCAAUAAGGUCUACGUGUAGUCUGAUGAGAGUACCUUACGAAUAAGCAUCGGCUAACUCCGUGCCAGCAGCCGCGGUAAUAAUC
rnacentral:rRNA from 1 species